UACGUAGGGGGCGAGCGUUAAUCGGAAUUACUGGGCGUAAAGCGUGCGCAGGCGGUUAAGUAAGACAGAUGUGAAAUUCCCGGGCUCAACCUGGGAACUGCAUUUGUGACCGCUUGACUAGAGUGCGGCAGAGGGGAGGGGAAUUCCGCGUGUAGCAGUGAAAUGCGUAGGUAUGCGGAGGAACACCGAUGGCGAAGGCAACUACCUUGGCCUGCACUGACGCUCAUGCACGAAAGCGUGGGGAGCAAACAGG
rnacentral:rRNA from 1 species